rnacentral:pre_miRNA from 1 species
AAAAAGACAAACCCUGGUUUCCGUGUCCAAUGUUUGACCGUCCGUCUUAUUUAAAAAAAUUAUGAAAAAAAUGAAAAAGACAAGUCACGCAUAAAAUAUUAAUCAUGUUUUAUCAUCUAACAACAAUGAAAAUACGAAUUAUAAAAAAAAUUUAUAUAAGACGGAUAGUCAAAGUUGGACACGAAAACCCAGGGUU